UUUUUCCGCCCCGCCCGGAAAGGGUGGAGCACAACGUCGAAAGCAGCCGUUGGGAGCCCAGGAGGCGGGGCGCCUGUGGGAGCCGUGGAGGGAACUUUCCCAGUCCCCGAGGCGGAUCCGGUGUUGCAUCCUUGGAGCGAGCUGAGAGCUCGAGAACCUGCUAAGGCCAUCAAACCUAUUGAUCGGAAGUCAGUCCAUCAGAUUUGCUCUGGGCCGGUGGUACCGAGUCUAAGCACUGCGGUGAAGGAGUUAGUAGAAAACAGUCUGGAUGCUGGUGCCACUAAUAUUGAUCUAAAGCUUAAGGACUAUGGAGUGGAUCUCAUUGAAGUUUCAGGCAAUGGAUGUGGGGUAGAAGAAGAAAACUUCGAAGGCUUAACUCUGAAACAUCACACAUCUAAGAUUCAAGAGUUUGCCGACCUACCUCAGGUUGAAACUUUUGGCUUUCGGGGGGAAGCUCUGAGCUCACUUUGUGCACUGAGUGAGUGAGCGCUCAUGGGAUCUGGUUGUUUAGAAGCAUGCACCACCUCCCGCUUCACUCUCUCUGUCUCUCCUGCUCCACCAUGGCCAGAAACGUGCCUGCUUCCCCUUCGCCUUCUGCCGUGAUUGUCAGUUUCCUGAGGCCUCCCCAGCCAUGCUUCCUGUACAGCCUGCAGAACUGACUCCUAGAAGUACCCCACCCCACCCCUGCUCCUUGGAGGACAACGUGAUCACUGUAUUCAGCUCUGUCAAGAAUGGUCCAGGUUCUUCUAGAUGAUCUGCACAAAUGGCUCCUCUCCUCCUUCCUGAUGUCUGCCAUUAGCACUGGAAUAAAGUUCCUGCUGAAAAUCCA
rnacentral:lncRNA from 1 species